rnacentral:rRNA from 1 species
GAUGAACGCUGGCGGCGUGCCUAAUACAUGCAAGUCGAGCGAUCAGACGAGGAGCUUGCUCCUCUGACGUUAGCGGCGGACGGGUGAGUAACACGUGGAUAACCUACCUAUAAGACUGGGAUAACUUCGGGAAACCGGAGCUAAUACCGGAUAAUAUAUUGAACCGCAUGGUUCAAUAGUGAAAGACGGUUUUGCUGUCACUUAUAGAUGGAUCCACGCCGCAUUAGCUAGUUGGUAAGGUAACGGCUUACCAAGGCGACGAUGCGUAGCCGACCUGAGAGGGUGAUCGGCCACACUGGAACUGAGACACGGUCCAGACUCCUACGGGAGGCAGCAGUAGGGAAUCUUCCGCAAUGGGCGAAAGCCUGACGGAGCAACGCCGCGUGAGUGAUGAAGGUCUUCGGAUCGUAAAACUCUGUUAUUAGGGAAGAACAAAUGUGUAAGUAACUAUGCACGUCUUGACGGUACCUAAUCAGAAAGCCACGGCUAACUACGUG